UGGGGAAUAUUGCACAAUGGGGGAAACCCUGAUGCAGCGACGCCGCGUGAAGGAAGAAGUAUCUCGGUAUGUAAACUUCUAUCAGCAGGGAAGAUAAUGACGGUACCUGACCAAGAAGCCCCGGCUAACUACGUGCCAGCAGCCGCGGUAAUACGUAGGGGGCGAGCGUUAUCCGGAUUUACUGGGUGUAAAGGGAGCGUAGACGGCGUAUCAAGUCUGAUGUGAAAGGCAGGGGCUUAACCCCUGGACUGCAUUGGAAACUGGUAUGCUUGAGUGCCGGAGGGGUAAGCGGAAUUCCUAGUGUAGCGGUGAAAUGCGUAGAUAUUAGGAGGAACACCAGUGGCGAAGGCGGCUUACUGGACGGUAACUGACGUUGAGGCUCGAAAGCGUGGGGAGCAAACA
rnacentral:rRNA from 1 species